UGUAUGGCGUUUAAAACAUUUAAGUGCUAUUUCAUUCCAAUAUAGAAAAUCAUUCGAAUAUAAUAAAGAAGAAACAAUGAAUGCAAAAUACAUAUUAUCUUUUUUAUAUUUUCUAAUGUUUUACUUAGUAAUUCAAUGUAUUGCGGACGAGACCAUAGCAGAAAUAAAGGAAAGAAUCGCGAACGAAAAUAAAGCUGUACGACAAUUAUACAUGCUAACAUUAGCUCAUUUCCGUGCUGAUAUUGGAAGUAAACUUACUUUGGUUCAUGUGUUGUAUGUUUUGGGAGAGUGUAAUGAAAAAAACAUCAAACAAUACCUCAAAGAGAAUAAUAUUCCUGCCAAUAACCGAAGUAGAAUAAAUCAAGAUCAAUUCGGUGCCAUUGUGAGAAAAAUUUGCGAAAUAAAUGGGACGAAAGUAUUAGACUUUUUGGAAAGAGUUAAUAUUUCAAUGCGUUAUAUAUUGGGCGAUUAUUAGCAUAUUUAACAGAAUAAAAGCUUAUUUAAAUGUA